CAUGCAGUCGAGCGGAAAGGCCCUUCGGGGUACUCGAGCGGCGAACGGGUGAGUAACACGUGAGUAACCUGCCCCUGACUCUGGGAUAAGCCUGGGAAACCGGGUCUAAUACCGGAUACGACCACCGGCCGCAUGGCCUGGUGGUGGAAAGAUUCAUCGGUUGGGGAUGGGCUCGCGGCCUAUCAGCUUGUUGGUGGGGUAGUGGCCUACCAAGGCGACGACGGGUAGCCGGCCUGAGAGGGCGACCGGCCACACUGGGACUGAGACACGGCCCAGACUCCUACGGGAGGCAGCAGUGGGGAAUCUUGCGCAAUGGGCGAAAGCCUGACGCAGCGACGCCGCGUGGGGGAUGACGGCCUUCGGGUUGUAAACCUCUUUCAGCAGGGACGAAGUUGACGUGUACCUGCAGAAGAAGCGCCGGCUAACUACGUGCCAGCAGC
rnacentral:rRNA from 1 species